rnacentral:rRNA from 1 species
AAUUGGAGGGCAAGUCUGGUGCCAGCAGCCGCGGUAAUUCCAGCUCCAAUAGCGUAUAUUAAAGUUGUUGCAGUUAAAAAGCUCGUAGUUGAAUUUCGGGAUCAAUAUUUCGGUCAUGCCGUUGGUAUGCACUGUUAUCAUUGAUUUCUCACCUUCUAAAGAACCGUAAUGCCAUUAAUUUGGUGUUACGGGGAAUUAGGACUGUUACCUUGAAAAAAUUAGAGUGUUUAAAGCAGGCUCACGCUUGAAUACAUUAGCAUGGAAUAAUGAAAUAGGACAUCCGAUUCUAUUUUGUUGGUUUCUAGGAUCGAUGUAAUGAUUAAUAGGGAUAGUUGGGGGCAUUAGUAUCCAAUUGUCAGAGGUGAAAUUCUUGGAUUUAUUGAAGACUAACUACUGCGAAAGCAUUUGCCAAGGAUGUUUUCAUUAAUCAAGAACGAAAGUUAGGGGAUCGAAGACGAUCAGAUACCGUCGUAGUCUUAACCAUAAACUAUGCCGACUAGGGAUCGGAUGAUGUUAAUUUUUUAAUGACUCAUUCGGCGCCUUACGGGAAACCAAAGUGU